GACGAACGCUGGCGGCGCGCCUAACACAUGCAAGUCGAGCGAUGAAAUUUUAACCGAUCUCUUCGGAGAGAAGAUAAAAUGGAUUAGCGGCGGACGGGUGAGUAACACGUGAGAAACCUGCCUUUCACAAGGGGAUAGCCUCGGGAAACCGGGAUUAAUACCCUAUGACACAUUUCCUUCGCAUGGAAGAAAUGUUAAAACUCCGGUGGUGAGAGAUGGUCUCGCGCCUGAUUAGCUAGUUGGUGGGGUAACGGCCCACCAAGGCCAUGAUCAGUAACCGGCCUGAGAGGGUGAACGGUCACAUUGGAACUGAGACACGGUCCAAACUCCUACGGGAGGCAGCAGUGGGGAAUAUUGCACAAUGGAGGAAACUCUGAUGCAGCGACGCCGCGUGAGCGAUGAAGGCUUUCGAGUCGUAAAGCUCUGUCCUAUGGGAAGAUAAUGACGGUACCAUAGGAGGAAGCCCCGGCUAACUACGUG
rnacentral:rRNA from 1 species